GAUGAACGCUGGCGGCGUGCCUAAUACAUGCAAGUCGAGCGAACGGACGGGAAGCUUGCUUCUCUGAUGUUAGCGGCGGACGGGUGAGUAACACGUGGAUAACCUACCUAUAAGACUGGGAUAACUUCGGGAAACCGGAGCUAAUACCGGAUAAUAUUUUGAACCGCAUGGUUCAAAAGUGAAAGGCGGUCUUGCUGUCACUUAUAGAUGGAUCCGCGCUGCAUUAGCUAGUUGGUAAGGUAACGGCUUACCAAGGCAACGAUGCAUAGCCGACCUGAGAGGGUGAUCGGCCACACUGGAACUGAGACACGGUCCAGACUCCUACGGGAGGCAGCAGUAGGGAAUCUUCCGCAAUGGGCGAAAGCCUGACGGAGCAACGCCGCGUGAGUGAUGAAGGUCUUCGGAUCGUAAAACUCUGUUAUUAGGGAAGAACAUAUGUGUAAGUAACUGUGCACAUCUUGACGGUACCUAAUCAGAAAGCCACGGCUAACUACGUG
rnacentral:rRNA from 1 species